GCUUUUAAAGGAUAACAGCUCGCCCAUUGGUCUUAGGAACCAAAAACUCUUGGUGCAAAUCCAAGUAAAAGCU
rnacentral:tRNA from 1 species